rnacentral:rRNA from 1 species
UACGUAGGUGACCAGCGUUGUCCGGAUUUACUGGGCGUAAAGAGCGCGCAGGCGGUCGUUCAAGUCGAGUGUGAAAGCCCCCGGCUCAACUGGGGAGGGUCACUCGAUACUGAUCGACUUGAAGGCAGGAGAGGGAAGCGGAAUUCCCGGUGUAGUGGUGAAAUGCGUAGAUAUCGGGAGGAACACCAGUGGCGAAGGCGGCUUCCUGGCCUGUUCUUGACGCUGAGACGCGAAAGCGUGGGGAGCAAACAGG